rnacentral:rRNA from 1 species
AGCAGUAGCCGCGGGAAUACGAAGGUCCCGAGCGUUGUUCGGAAUCACUGGGCGUAAAGGGAGCGUAGGCGGCGUGGUAAGUCAGAUGUGAAAUCCCGGGGCUCAACCCCGGAACUGCAUCCGAUACUGCCAUGCUAGAGGAUUGGAGAGGUAGCUGGAAUUCUUGGUGUAGCAGUGAAAUGCGUGGAGAUCAAGAGGAACACUCGUGGCGAAAGCGAGCUACUGGACAAUAACUGACGCUGAGGCUCGAAGGCCAGGGUAGCGAAAGGGAUUAGAUACCCCAGUAGUCCCUGUCUCUUAUAC